CCAGGAAAGGUCGCAGGCUGAGAGCUGUAAGCUGCAGAGACAACAACAGGUCAUAUGAUCAGAUCCUUUCCACGGCGUGUUGUGAAGACAGAAAGCCAAAAACAAAGUUUUGCACGCUUUGUGGACUCAGUCAAACAGUCACUCAAACACAGACAAGAAUAAACCUGGGUUCGGCAAGAGCUGCCAGUGUCCACUGUCUGAUUAUACACCAGAACACAGCGCGGAGUGGUCGGAGCCUGCAGACCAUCCCAGUUACACCUCCACCUUUGAGCAGGUACCUGUGGACUUUAAUUUAGCAGACUGUAAUGCAAUGAGCAGACAGAGGAAGAGGAGUGUGAGAUCCACGGGGAAAGGAGCAGGAGAAAGAGAACGACAGCUGUCGCCAGCGGACGGGCCUUUACUACCAGACUAAGUGAAAAUCUGAGGGCUCGACAGGGAACACGGGCAGAGUUGAUACUCUGCCCCCAUGGUGUGAGUAACGAUCCUAGGACGCGAGUGAAGUGGUGUGCAUGUAUUGGGUGUAAAAGUGCAGUGACUGCCAUCUUGUUUCCCUGACAGCUUCCGAGUCUGCGCCCGGCAGAGGACAGUGUGCAAGUCGAAGACCAGCGUGGUCGUGGAGGAUCAGUGUUGCCAAGCCACCACAAGGACAACAUCUACUCAUGGAUGAGAGGCUCAUGCUCAUGACAGCGCGAGACAUGAACAUUAGUGGCAUCCUCCUCAGCUGAGCUGUAACAUGAUCUAGCUUAAUGGUACUGGGAGCAACCAGGUCUCACUCUGAAGUUGUCAAAAUCCAGCGUUUGGGCAGUGACUGCGUCACUUGGGCAGCAUCGGGGGACACACGGCAUGACAAGAAUGAAAGUUAAGGCAGUGAAAGCUCGACUGAAUAAGGCUGACUUUUAUCCUCUUUUUAGUUAGUUUUAUUCCAUUUUAGCUUUGGUAGCCUUCUUUUAUCAGGCCUGGUCCUUUCGGGUGACACUUCUCACCAUUUUGACUUUAUUUCUGAUUUUAAUUUCUGUGAAUAAAUAUAAUUUUAAAUGCCCUUUCCAGUCUCCAAGCACUUUCCUGGUUUUAAACAGCUGCUCGCUCUUGCCUGAUUUUAAAGAGCUUGUUUUAAUUGAACACACGUUUUAAAUUACACACAUAACCUCACAAAUACUGUUCCAUGUUUACAAAAAACGCU